UUGCUUUAUACAAUCAUUUCACUGUUGUCGAUUUUCAAAUAUCACAACAAAAGCGAAGAUGUAAAUUUUCCAUCAAAAUCAUAAUAUGUAUCUACGAGCUGACAAUUCCAUCGGCCAGCUGCGAGAAGCGAGCCCGGCACUCGUGUAUGAUGGCCUUGUUGUGCAGCAUGUGGGCUGUCACCACGCUAUUCAGCAGACGCUCCAGUUCCUUCUCCAAACUACUGAGUAUAUCAUUCAACGGCUCACCCUCCGCUGGCAGUUGGGGAGAGGCUUGAUCCUGUUUGGUCGACAAAUCGCCCACGGCCACAUAGCUAUAGGUGUGGCACAGUUCUGGUGCCGAGUUGCUGCGGUGAACCAUGGAUGAUGAAGAAGCCGGUGCCGGCGGAUGCAUAGUUGUGAAAGAAGGCGUAGCGAUUGGAGCCCGCGAUGUAGUCUGUUGUUCAUGCAACUCUGCCUGUCGCUGUUUAAAUGCGAGUUGCUGCGAAAUAUAGUGGAUCUCCUCGUCGAUUACUCGCUCCAACUUGGCGCGAAACUCCUGCUCAUGGGUCUGGACCGUUUGGACGCACUCGGCAUUGCGCAGCGAUACGUUGAUAAGAAUUUCGAUGGUUGCAGGUGACUGUGUGGCCGUCGGCGUGGGUGAGCUGCUCAAGGUCAACUUGACGUGCUUGCCCUGGGUAUAGGCUUCGGCCUCUUGAAUAGACGAAUCAUUGCUGGUGGUGGCCAGACGCGGACGCCUGCCGGUGGAAUCGCCAAUACCACUGUCGCCUGCGCAGUGAAAACUUUCCUCCUGCUCCGCUUCUGGUCGCUCCCGAUCCGUUUGAUCCCUAUUAUUGGCAUCUGUAUCCUUGGGCAGAGCAUGAUUACUGGGUAGAAAGGUGUAGCUGCGGUACAGACCGCUGUCCUGCUCCCGACUGCGCGGCAUAUUGAUGGCUAGGCCACUCAUCAGGGAGUCCAGCUCAUCGAGGCUGUCGUCUAGACCACUGCUGAUGGUGGCGCUGUAGACACGCUGCUUUCGCUUCGGUGGCGUAACUUCCAGCUGAAUGUGCUUCUCAGAGAUAAAGGAUUGCGAUUGCGAUUGGCACUGGGUUGGAUGCGUUGAUGUCACCACAUUGAGCAGCUUGCGGUUGUCCAAGCUCAAUGUUGUGAGAUCUAUGAAGGACACAACCUUCUCGCGCUGCUCGGCCACCCGUUGCCAAAUGGAUCGAUGUUCGGGAUGCAGGAGAAUGGUUGGUGACGUAAUAAGCGGACAAUUGAACCCGAAAUGCGAGAUGGUGCGAUACGGAGUCGAUGAUAAGCCCAAAAUAGAAUGAUUCCUCUCUUCCGGCAAUGAUACAGAUGCCAAGGCAUUGCGUACGGGGGUGCUACUAAUAACGCUGGACUCUUGGGCCAUGAAUCCGGCUCCACUUUCGUUGUGAUGAAUACUCAUAUUGCCAUCGUUAACUGGCGGAUAGUUGUGCUUGCUGACGGGCUCGACCUUGUGUAUAACAUAAACCUUAUGCAUUAAUGGAGCCAUUUUCAUGCAGGCAUACAUGUAUUGGCCAGGCGAAUAAAGGAACGCAUACUUUUG
ensembl:ncRNA asRNA:CR43430 antisense RNA:CR43430